rnacentral:lncRNA from 1 species
GGCAACCAAGCUGUUAGUUUUAACAAAAAAGAGACUUUAUUAGCUGAAGGCAGGACUAGAGCAAGAGAAUGGCAAAUUUUGUCAAUUUAACUGGUGUGUUUUAUUUAUAAUUAGGCACAGCUGACAUGGUUUAGAUUACAUAUGCUUUUUGUAGCAACUGUGAGCCUCAAGUAAAUUGGAGUAAUCUGGGGGAAGGCUAUUUCUAUACACACUGAGACUGAGAAAGGCUUCUUAUUUUUAGAGUAGUUCAUGUGAAAUGGGCUCUACCACCAAAGUUUUCUAAUCUCAGAUCUGCUUAAGCUAGUUGAUUAGUUGUCUCUGUAUUGAUUAGAGCAAAUAUAUGCAAAUUUUAUACUGUGUAUAUAUUACUAUAGCUGCUGUAUUUAUAAACUGAAUUGCUCUAGCUUCAGAAGGGCAAGGCUGAACAGACCUAGACUCAGCCUUUCCUCAUAUGAGAGGUGCUCCAGGCCCUUUAUCGUCUUAGAAAGCAAUAGAAAGCAUUCCCAGCAGAACUACCACUGGCAGGGCAGGAAGCUUUUUCUUCAGCACUUGCUGCUGCUGCAUCUGUGUCUAUUUCAUUUGAGGUCCUUCCCUAGAAAUGGACUGGACCGUGUUCAAGUGCAAAUUCUCAAGGGGGUACUUAUAAAAAGAGCCCAAAAUCAAGAAAUAGGUCAGGUCUGUUUUUCUUACAGAGGGCUAAAGCAUGUGCAGGGAAGUGCUAUGGAACAUUUAUGAACAAAACUGAGAAAGAUGAGCAAGAUAAAUACGUGGUUUUGGGGUGAAAAGAGCCAAGUGAGAAUAAGAAUU